rnacentral:rRNA from 1 species
GGGUUGCGGACAGUGUCUGGUGGGUAGUUUGACUGGGGCGGUCUCCUCCUAAAGAGUAACGGAGGAGCACGAAGGUUGGCUAAUCCUGGUCGGACAUCAGGAGGUUAGUGCAAUGGCAUAAGCCAGCUUGACUGCGAGCGUGACGGCGCGAGCAGGUGCGAAAGCAGGUCAUAGUGAUCCGGUGGUUCUGAAUGGAAGGGCCAUCGCUCAACGGAUAAAAGGUACUCCGGGGAUAACAGGCUGAUACCGCCCAAGAGUUCAUAUCGACGGCGGUGUUUGGCACCUCGAUGUCGGCUCAUCACAUCCUGGGGCUGAAGUAGGUCCCAAGGGUAUGGCUGUUCGCCAUUUAAAGUGGUACGCGAGCUGGGUUUAGAACGUCGUGAGACAGUUCGGUCCCUAUCUGCCGUGGGCGCUGGAGAACUGAGGGGGGCUGCUCCUAGUACGAGAGGACCGGAGUGGACGCAUCACUGGUGUUCGGGUUGUCAUGCCAAUGGCACUGCCCGGUAGCUAAAUGCGGAAGAGAUAAGUGCUGAAAGCAUCUAAGCACGAAACUUGCCCCGAGAUGAGUUCUCCCUGACUCCCUGAGAGUCCUGAAGGAACGUUGAAGACGACGACGUUGAUAGGCCGGGUGUGUAAGCGCAGCGAUGCGUUGAGCUAACCGGUACUAAUGAACCG